rnacentral:misc_RNA from 1 species
UCUUAGCCUCGAUUGUAGCAUUUGUUUGAGCUCAUUUUCCUACUUUGGCUCAGCGGCGGCUUCGCCGCUGCUGAGCCAAAGUAGGAAAAUAGCGAGUGCGGAAAGCGAGAAACAGC